rnacentral:rRNA from 1 species
GACGAGCGCUGGCGGCGUGCCCAACACAUGCAAGUCGAACGGGGUGAUUCCUUCGGGGUUCGCUUAGUGGCGAACGGGUGAGUAACGCGUGAGAAACCUGCCUUUCAGUGGGGGACAACAGUUGGAAACGACUGCUAAUACCGCAUAAUGUUUCGAGAGGGCAUCCUUUUGAAACCAAAGCUUUAUGUGCUGAAAGAUGGUCUCGCGUCUGAUUAGCUAGUUGGUGAGGUAACGGCUCACCAAGGCGACGAUCAGUAGCCGGUCUGAGAGGAUGAACGGCCACAUUGGGACUGAGAUACGGCCCAGACUCCUACGGGAGGCAGCAGUGGGGAAUAUUGGGCAAUGGGGGAAACCCUGACCCAGCAACGCCGCGUGAAGGAAGAAGGCCUUCGGGUUGUAAACUUCUUUUACCAGGGACGAAGAACGUGACGGUACCUGGAGAAAAAGCAACGGCUAACUACGUGCCAGCCGCCGCGGUAACAC